rnacentral:rRNA from 1 species
GACGAACGCUGGCGGCGUGCUUACCACAUGCAAGUCGAACGGAAAGGCCCUGCUUGCAGGGUACUCGAGUGGCGAACGGGUGAGUAACACGUGGGUGAUCUGCCCUGCCCUUCGGGCUAAGCCUGGGAAACUGGGUCUAAUACCGGACAGGCGCCAUUUUUAGUGUGAUGGUUGGAAAGUUUUUUCGGUGUAGGAUGAGCUCGCGGCCUAUCAGCUUGUUGGUGGGGUAAUGGCCUACCAAUGCGGCGACGGGUAGCCGGCCUGAGAGGGUGGACGGCCACAUUGGGACUGGGAGACGGCCCAGACGUCUACGGGGGGCAGCAGUGGGGAGUAUUGCACAAUGGGCGCAAGCGUGAUGCGGCGACGGCGCGUGGGGGAUGACGGCCUUCGGGUUGUAGACUCCUUUCGCUAGGGACGAAGCUUUGUGUGACGGUACCUAGAUAAGAAGCACCGGCGAACUACGUG